rnacentral:lncRNA from 1 species
UAAUUUGGCAAGAUUUUUGCCAAACCUAAAUACCCGAAUUCCGAAUUGCCCGACCCGAAAACCCGAACUGCAUGACUAAUUUAAAUCAAACAUUUUUUUUUGUCAGCACAUAUUAUCUUAUUAAAUUGGGCUUAACAUAAAUAUACAAAACAUUUUACAUGUUAAAACAUUAUAUAGAACAUAUAAAAGGGCCUAUCUUAUAUAUUAAAACAUAAGUCACAACCUUGAUUCAUGUGUGAUUUUUUUUAAAAUUGACUUAAUAGACCUAUUAUUAGAAAGUCAUGUUACAUUUAAUAUCUAAUUUUAUCAUUUAAAUUUUGGGCCUAACAUAAAUUUGUAUUGGGCUAUCAAUAAUUGGAUUUAAACAAUAGAUGAUCCAUUGGAUUUAUAGAUAGUAUAAAUUAAAUAGAUAUAAUUUAAUAUUGUAAUACUAUACCUCCAUAUGUUAAUUAUUUAAAUAU